rnacentral:rRNA from 1 species
GCUUGGUUGAUCAUCCUGGGUUCUCCCUGGUGCACUCUUCCAGUCCAGGCCAGCAUCAGUUUGCUUCGGGGGAUAAAGGCUUCGGGAAUGUGGCUCCUUCGGGAGUGUUAUAGCCCGUUGUGUAAUACCCUGAGACAGACUGAGGUUCGCGCUCUGCAAGGAUGCUGGCGUAAUGGUCAUCAGCGACCCGUCUUGAAACACGGACCAAGGAGUCGUCUUCGUAUGCGAGUGUUCGGGUGUUAAACCCCUACGCGUAAUGAAAGUGAACGCAGGUGAGAGCUUCGGCGCAUCAUCGACCGAUCCUGAUGUUCUCGGAUGGAUUUGAGUAAGAGCAUACGGGGCCGGACCCGAAAGAAGGUGAACUAUGCCUGUAUAGGGUGAAGCCAGAGGAAACUCUGGUGGAGGCUCGCAGCGGUUCUGACGUGCAAAUCGAUCGUCAAAUAU